rnacentral:lncRNA from 1 species
AGUUCCAACCCUGGGCAGCCCUAAGUAAGAGUCAUCAGAAGCUUCCAGGCAAUUGUCACUGAAAAAUAAGUGCUAUAGCACUACCUCAGCUGCUGCAACCACAGACCUCAUUCAGAAAUCUUUAUUGUAUUAACCCUUGUGUGUCCGGAAUUGGUGGGUUCUUGGUCUCACUGACUUCAAGAAUGAAGCCUGGGACACUCACGGAAUCAAGACAACUCACCAGAAAAAGGACUGAGAACUCCUUCUGGAUGAAGAUACUUCCUAGAAGGCUAAAGCUCUAUAACCAUUGAAAGCUGGCUGGGGGAAAAGAAGAAGAGGCAAAAAGAUCAACUGAAGAAUAAACUGCUGUCAUUGGCACAAAAGAAUACCACAAAGAUUAUUUACAAAACUCGAAUCAGGAGUAGAACAGACCUCCAUGUGGAAGUUCAAUUAUGCUAAGAGGAAAGAGGAAAGGGGAAGAGUUUACAGAAAUAAAUUAAUGAUGAUGAUAAACUA